rnacentral:lncRNA from 1 species
GUGGACACCGCACUGGGUUUCUUCUCCAAUUCUAACCUGCUGUGAAGAAGUCACAUUUUAAGUGAAACCCUGGGCUGUUCUAGUUUACCAUAACUUGGGGUUUUGCUGGAUCUGGAGCUCCUGGCCAAGUCUGUUACUUCUCCCUGGAGUUGCCAUCCUCCAGGACGUACCUUCUCUCAAGUCAGUUGGUCUAGUCCACUGUCAGUGUGCUUCUUGGUUGGAGCCUCCGCUGCCAAGUGCUGAGGGGAAACAAAACAGAGCUUGGAGGUGAUUAGUGUGCAGUCCACAGGUGUGGAGAAGUAUAAUAACCAGGGUCAGCAGACUCAGUGACAAGAACACCACUUCUGUGCCUCAAAGAUGACAUCUUCCCAUUGUGUCUUCAUGUGAUGGAAGAGUCGGACGUAUGCAUCUACUGAGAGCAUAGGACAAAACGUCUUCAGAGUGAUGCGAAGGUUCUUUGUUUGAAAUGAAGCUCUGCUAAAGCAACUGCAGAGAACAUCAGUUCUCCAAGGACUACAUGUGUCUGACAAUGUUAAAGGAGGGAAUAUCCAGACCCUACAGGGACCUCAUUGUUUUAAGUUCACUUCUGUGGGAAAGCCAGUGUCAGAAGAAUAUAAACUCAAGGCUGAUAAAAAUUCGCAGUAGGUGUAACUGUCAGAAGACUGCAGUGUGGCAGAAGAGAACGGUGGAAACCACAGGCUGACCGCAUCCCUCUGUGAAGUCAACACUCCUACAGAAUAGCACUCUGCUAGAGCUACUCUCACUGAAUUCUGUUUGCAGGUACAGAGAUGCUUCUGAUGUCUGGCCAUCUGGCAGUGCGGACAGGAGAUGUCCUUGAAGCAGAUGCCCCCAUAAAAUACUAAAACUUCUUCACAACUGCUGACACCUUAGGUGGGAAGAGCAGCUCUCUUCGUUGACUCUGUAGGAAAGAACGGCAUCUGUAGUUGGAAUUGACUGCACCGACAAUGACUUUUCAACGUAAAACUAAAGAAAAUCUGGAGGAGGAGAAUAAAACAAAGAUCAUUUUCUAAAAGAAAAAAAUGGAGGAUUUGACGGCAUUCAAAAUAAUAAUGCCACCUGGAACUUGAACCAAAUUUUUCCAAUUCCAAACCUAUUGUUAUUCCCUGCCACAGCAAAAUCUACCAGGCAAGUUGUAAAUAUAAAAGGUGAGAAAUUUAAUUUUUAUGAAACAACUAAGAACAAAGGCUC